rnacentral:lncRNA from 1 species
AGGCUAUAAUGCACGAUCGGAUGGCUCUGGUGUGAGCUGAUCAUGAUCAGAUAGCUACAAAUGGUUCUAGGGUUGAUUGAGGCUCAAUAUUCUUAGUAUAACAGUAUUUUUGAGAUUCUGAAGCCUAUAUAGCUUUAAUUGACAAGCUGUUUAUUACGUUGGAUAGUUGGUGACAUCUUAGAGGUGUAGAAAGACUUAACAAAGGUUUCAAAGA